rnacentral:rRNA from 1 species
GACGAACGCUGGCGGCGUGCUUAACGCAUGCCAGUCGAACGCUGAAGCUCAGCUUGCUGGGUGGAUGAGUGGCGAACGGGUGAGUAACACGUGAGUAACCUGCCCUCUUCUUUGGGAUAACGCCCGGAAACGGGUGCUAAUACUGGAUAUUCACUGAUUCUCGCAUGGGGGUUGGUGGAAAGGUUUUUUCUGGUGGGGGAUGGGCUCGCGGCCUAUCAGCUUGUUGGUGGGGUGAUGGCCUACCAAGGCUUUGACGGGUAGCCGGCCUGAGAGGGUGACCGGUCACAUUGGGACUGAGAUACGGCCCAGACUCCUACGGGAGGCAGCAGUGGGGAAUAUUGCACAAUGGGCGAAAGCCUGAUGCAGCGACGCCGCGUGAGGGAUGGAGGCCUUCGGGUUGUAAACCUCUUUCGCUCAUGGUCAAGCCGCAGCUUUGGGUUGUGGUGAGGGUAGUGGGUAAAGAAGCGCCGGCUAACUACGUG